UGCGAUCGUCGCCUGGUCGGGCGACGAUGCCUGGAGGGCGUCGCGCACUCGUUGCAGGCGAAGGUCGCGC
rnacentral:tRNA from 1 species